CAGAUCCUCGUGAGGCGUCCGGACUGGCCCAGAGAGGUGGGCAACUACCACUCAGGGCCGGAAAGCUCUCCAAACUCGGUCAUUUAGAGGAAGUAAAAGUCGUAACAAGGUCUCCGUUGGUGAACCAGCGGAGGGAUCAUUACCGAGUUUACAACUCCCAAACCCCUGUGAACAUACCACUUGUUGCCUCGGCGGAUCAGCCCGCUCCCGGUAAAACGGGACGGCCCGCCAGAGGACCCCUAAACUCUGUUUCUAUAUGUAACUUCUGAGUAAAACCAUAAAUAAAUCAAAACUUUCAACAACGGAUCUCUUGGUUCUGGCAUCGAUGAAGAACGCAGCAAAAUGCGAUAAGUAAUGUGAAUUGCAGAAUUCAGUGAAUCAUCGAAUCUUUGAACGCACAUUGCGCCCGCCAGUAUUCUGGCGGGCAUGCCUGUUCGAGCGUCAUUUCAACCCUCAAGCACAGCUUGGUGUUGGGACUCGCGUUAAUUCGCGUUCCUCAAAUUGAUUGGCGGUCACGUCGAGCUUCCAUAGCGUAGUAGUAAAACCCUCGUUACUGGUAAUCGUCGCGGCCACGCCGUUAAACCCCAACUUCUGAAUGUUGACCUCGGAUCAGGUAGGAAUACCCGCUGAACUUAAGCAUAUCAAUAAGCGGAGGAAAAGAAACCAACAGGGAUUGCCCUAGUAACGGCGAGUGAAGCGGCAACAGCUCAAAUUUGAAAUCUGGCUCUCGGGCCCGAGUUGUAAUUUGUAGAGGAUACUUUUGAUGCGGUGCCUUCCGAGUUCCCUGGAACGGGACGCCAUAGAGGGUGAGAGCCCCGUCUGGUUGGAUGCCAAAUCUCUGUAAAGUUCCUUCAACGAGUCGAGUAGUUUGGGAAUGCUGCUCUAAAUGGGGAGGUAUAUGUCUUCUAAAGCUAAAUACCGGCCAGAGACCGAUAGCGCACAAGUAGAGUGAUCGAAAGAUGAAAAGCACUUUGAAAAGAGAGUUAAAAAGUACGUGAAAUUGUUGAAGA
rnacentral:rRNA from 1 species